rnacentral:rRNA from 1 species
ACGCUCGACACCUACUGGAGGCAGCAGUGGGGAAUAUUGCACAAUGGGGGAAACCCUGAUGCAGCGACGCCGCGUGAAGGAAGAAGUAUCUCGGUAUGUAAACUUCUAUCAGCAGGGAAGAAAAUGACGGUACCUGACUAAGAAGCCCCGGCUAACUACGUGCCUGCAGCCGCGGUAAUCUGAGCGGGCUGGCAAGGC